GCUGCGUUCCUCGCAGGGCGCGGCUCCCUGGGCUGCUGCAGGAAACUCAGAUCAGGUAUGUAGGGUGUGUGUGCAGAGGCUCAGGGUACUGGGCAGGUAUCAAGCCCCGGGUGUUGCCGGUUUCCAGGGGAAGGUUGUCAUACUUGCACAGCUCGCUUACGCUAUGCUAUGGCUUCAGCCUGAAACCGCAUAGACUCCUGAUCGUGCCAAAGGACAGUACUGUGGGCUGUGCUGACAUUCCUUGCAUGGAUGCUCUGGUAUAGGCACCUUGUAGGGAUGGUUGUGUGGGUGUUCCUCACACUGCAACACCUCUAGGUUUGCCCAAAGGAAAGUGUCUCUAAGGCAAGUCCUCAGACAGAUGGGAUCAACAGAGAUGACCCACGUAGCUAUCCUGAACCAAAAGGGGAUAAAGUUAGAUCCAUCCUAACCUUAAGGGGAAAAAAAAAGUGUGACAUGAGGUUUUUUUGUUUUGUAAUUUCACAGUGGUAGCUGUAUGUUGAUAAUUCUAUAGUAAGUGAUAAAUGUAAGUUAUGUGAUGACUGGGGGUGUGGCUCAGUGGUAGGGCACAGGACUAGUGCCUGUGAGACUCUAGGUUCAGUCCCUAAUACCGAUGAUGAUGAUGAUGAUGAUAAUGGUGAUGGUGAUGAUGGUGAUGAUAUGAAAUUACAAUGCUCAGAUGACUGCUUAACUUGUCUUGAGAGUAUGUGUGUCACUUUUUACCAAGUUUAUAUUUGUGCAUCCCUAUGACUGUAAGAAUAGUGGCCUCCACAAUCCCUGCUAUUUGCUUUUUGAGACAGGGUCUUAACGGAGUAGCCUUGGCUCACUAGUAGACCAGGCUGGCCUUGAACUCAGAUCUCUGCCUUAAAGUGCUAAGAUUAAAGGCAUGCCCUACAUAUCCUUAACAUCAUCUGCUGUUAUGUUUCUAAGCCUAGCCAUUCUCCAAGGAUAUAGUCACAACGCGUGCGCACACACACACACACAGAGACAGCUAAUAUACAAAUUAAAUCAAUACAGUAGAGGGAGGGAGGUGGUGGCACACUUGGGAGGUGAAUGCAGAAAGACCUGGAGUUCAAAGACACCCUGGGACCCUAAGACCCUGUCUCAGGUCCUUUUUUAAGGAGGCAGAGGAGCUGUCGUGUAGAUUACUAGAUAACUGUGCUUGCCUAGCACACGAGAGCCCUUGGUUAAUUCCCCUGCAUGGCACAAAACUGGGUGUGAUGGUGCAUGCCAGAAGCCCAGCAUUGCGGAAGGCUGGAAAAUCAAGAGUUCAAGGUCACCCUCAGCUACAAACAAAUUCAAAACCAGCCUAGAAAAAUAAAUGAAUAAUAAACAAAAUUUAAACUUC
rnacentral:lncRNA from 1 species